rnacentral:lncRNA from 1 species
UCUUAUUAACACAGUGUGCCACUGUCCAGAUGAAGUGAUCCUCCCUGUCCGGUGGGUGCCUCCACAACCUACUACGACAGCACCAGAGACACUGCCCUCUUGGGGAAGCAACGGUGCCAGGGACGGAAUGGCUGUUUGAAGAUGAGGUUUCUCCUACGACUGUGCUGAUCCAAGAAAGAAACUUGAAGAAUGGGAGUGGGGCAACGAGCUCUGUGUUCCUGCUUUCUGGCACAUGCAAGGGAGAAAACUGGGAUGGCUCUUGAUUUGCGAGGAAGGGCAUCUACAUAAGGGCCCAUUCUGACCCAAGCCUACCUGUGGGAAAGGAUCGCUGAAGCCAUUCCCUUUUGAGACCAGAGUGAGCAGCUAAAGGCUCAAGAUGAUCCAUCAUCCUGGACUAUGACACGAGGAACUAUUACAAAACAGCACCGUUUUAUUAUAUGUUGGACCCAAGGGUAAAUAUACUGCAUGUGUACUGAGCAAAGUGUUCUGUUAGGA